CAGAGAUACGCACAGAGGCGAGCAGGCACUGGGUUACAAUGGCUUAAGAAUGUCCAUACAGCACAGAAAACAGGGCAAGGAGUGCAGCUGCCCUAAGAUAAUGUUUUUCUUUAAUUAAACUAUCUCUGCCACGCAGAAGUGGGGGGAGAAGGCUUCGAAGCAUGCCUGAUCGCCAAUUAAAACAACCUGCCUUUUAGACAAAACAAGAACCUGAUGCCUGGAGUCUCAGUUAUGGAUCAACCAUCAAACCAUCAGAGAUCAUUACAGGCAUAAGGAGAUCAGCCUACUUCAACUUAUAAGAUUAAAAGUUGGAACGUAAUUUUACCUGCAUUAAACAUUGUGCACACUGAGGUCUCACCGCAUUGUGAAAUAACAUGAAUAACCUGCAAAGGCAAUUUUUUAUUAAACCUGUGCCGUACCUGUAUUACACUCAAGAUAAGCUGCACCAGAA